CGUGUAGGCGGACUCGCAAGUCGGUUGUGAAAUCCCUGGGCUCAACCUAGGAACUGCAUCCGAAACUGCUUGUCUUGAGUAAUGGAGAGGGUGGCGGAAUUCCCGGUGUAGAGGUGAAAUUCGUAGAUAUCGGGAGGAACAUCAGUGGCGAAGGCGGCCACCUGGACAUUUACUGACGCUGAGACGCGAAAGCGUGGGGAGCAAGCA
rnacentral:rRNA from 1 species